rnacentral:rRNA from 1 species
AGUGAACGCUGGCGGUAGACCUAACACAUGCAAGUCGAACGGCAGCACAGUAAGAGCUUGCUCUUACGGGUGGCGAGUGGCGGACGGGUGAGGAAUACAUCGGAAUCUACUUUUUCGUGGGGGAUAACGUAGGGAAACUUACGCUAAUACCGCAUACGACCUACGGGUGAAAGCAGUGGAUCUUCGGACCUUGCGCGAUUGAAUGAGCCGAUGUCGGAUUAGCUAGUUGGCGGGGUAAAGGCCCACCAAGGCGACGAUCCGUAGCUGGUCUGAGAGGAUGAUCAGCCACACUGGAACUGAGACACGGUCCAGACUCCUACGGGAGGCAGCAGUGGGGAAUAUUGGACAAUGGGCGCAAGCCUGAUCCAGCCAUACCGCGUGGGUGAAGAAGGCCUUCGGGUUGUAAAGCCCUUUUGUUGGGAAAGAAAAGCAGCAGGUUAAUACCCCGCUGUUCUGACGGUACCCAAAGAAUAAGCACCGGCUAACUUCGUG